rnacentral:sRNA from 13 species
AAAGACAAGGACGAAGAAGAAUCGAAAGUGGCGGAAAAGAUACUUUGUUCUCUCGGAAGGAACUCUUAGCUUUUACAAAAAGGCGCAUCCAAAACCAUAUAAUCUUGAGGGGCAUAUAAAAGUAAAUGAAAUUCCUAUUUAUGUUGCGUCGCUAGC